AACAAGAGAGAGAGGUUAGAGAGAGGUUAGUGUCUUAGAGAGAGGUUAGAGAGAGGUUAGAGAGGGGUUAGAGAGAGGUUAGUGUGUUAGAGAGAGGUUAGAGAGGUUAGAGAGAGGUUAGUGUGUUAGAGAGAGGUUUGAGAGAGGUUAGUGUGUUAGAGAGAGAUAAGAGAGAGCUAGUGAGAGGUUAGAGAGAUGUUUGUGUGUUAGAGAGAGUUUAGAGAGAGGUUAGUGUGUUAGAGAGAGGUUAGAGAGAGGUUAGAGGUUAGAGAGAGGUUAGAGAGAGGUUAUAAGUUAGAGAGAGGUUAGUGUGUUACAGAGAGAACUGUGUGUUAGAGAGAGGUUAGUGUGUUAGAGGUUAGUGUGUUAGAGAGAGGUUAGUGUGUUAGAGAGAAGUUAGUGUGUUAGAGAGAGGUUAGUGUGUUAGAGAGAGGUUAGUGUGUUAGAGAGAGGUUAGAGAGAGGUUUGUGUGUUAGAGAGAGGUUAGAGAGAGGUUAGUGUGUUAGAGAGAGAUUAGAGAGAGGUUAGUGUGUUAGAGAGAGAUUAGAGAGAGGUUAGUGUGUUAGAGAGAGAUUAGAGAGAGGUUAGUGUGUUAGAGAGAGAUUAGAGAGAGGUUAGUGUGUUAGAGAGAGAUUAGAGAGAGGUUAGUGUGUUAGAGAGAGAUUAGAGAGAGGUUAGUGUGUUAGAGAGAGGUUAGAGAGAGGUUAGUGUGUUAGAGAGAGAUUAGAGAGAGGUUAGUGUGUUAGAGAGAGAUUAGAGAGAGGUUAGUGUGUUAGAGAGAGAUUAGAGAGAGGUUAGUGUGUUAGAGAGAGAUUAGAGAGAGGUUAGUGUGUUAGAGAGAGAUUAGAGAGAGGUUAGUGUGUUUGAGAGAGUUGUGUUGGAGGUUAGUGUGUUUUUUAUUUGAUUUAUUAGGAUCCUCAUUAGUUGUCGCCAAUGGCGACAGCGAGUCUUACCUGGCUCCAACAUUAAACUAAAAAUACAUUACAGACACAAGACUACAAUUUACAUACAGUGCCAGUCCAAGUUUGGACACACAUUCAAGUGUUUUUCUUUUUUAAUUUUUGUACUAUUUUCUACAUUGUAGAAUAAUAGCGAAGACGUCAACACUAUGAAAUAACACAUAUGGAAUCAGGUAGUAACCAUAAAAGUGUUAAACACAUAAAAACAUCAUUUGUAUUUGAGAUUCUUCAAAGUAGCCACCCUUUGCCAUGAUGACAGCAUUACACACUUAAAUAAGCUUAAAUAAGCAAAGAUAAACGACAGUCCAUCAAGGCACACUUAAACAGCAUGGAUACCACAGCAUUCUGCAGCGAUAUGCCAUCCCAUCUGGUUUGUGCUUAGUGGCAUCAUCAGCAUACAUGGACCCACAUGCUUUUUUUAAUGCCAGUGGCAGAUCAUUGGUAAAAAUAGAAAAUAGUAGAGGGCCUAGAGAGCUGCCCUGUGGUACACCACACUUUCCAUGUUUGACAUUAGAGAAGCUUCCAUUAAUCCCUUAAGGUCGAUGUCCUCGGAAAUCUAAUUAGUAUAAUAAAUAAAAUCUGCAUUAAAAUCUUUCAAUUUAAGAUAGACACAGUAUCUGUUCUUUUUCAUUGGAUGUGACUCAAUCCACCAUAUCCGCCUAUGUCACACUUCUGCAUCUGUGGUGAAAUAGCUAGAGCGAUGUCUGUCAGACCAUGAGACAUCUGUGGUGAAAGAGCUAGAGCAAUGUCUGUCAGACCAUGAGACAUCCCAUCUGUGGUGAAAGGUGACAGAGCUAGAGCGAUGUCUGUCAGACCAUGAGACAUCUGUGGUGAAAGAGCUAGAGCAAUGUCUGUCAGACCAUGAGACAUCCCAUCUGUGGUGAAAGGUGACAGAGCUAGAGCGAUGUCUGUCAGACCAUGAGACAUCUGUGGUGAAAGAGCUAGAGCAAUGUCUGUCAGACCAUGAGACAUCUGUGGUGAAAUAGCUAGAGCGAUGUCUGUCAGACCAUGAGACAUCUGUGGUGAAAGAGCUAGAGCGAUGUCUGUCAGACCAUGAGACAUCUGUGGUGAAAGGUGACAGAGUUAGAGGGGUGGUUGUCAGAGUUAGAGGGGUGGUUGUCAGAGUUAGAGGGGUGGUUGUCAGACCGAAAAUUGGUCUUCUCACAAAAUUGUUUUUAGCUUCUGAACGGUUUGUCCUACAAAACUACUAAAAUAUUAACUACUGUGGAAACGUGAGACUCUCACAAACACGUACAUUUUGGUUGUUUUGCUCUAGGAUGCCCACAGGCCUGAAUGUCCCCAGGUACCAGUUGAAAGAACUAAUGGAAGUACAGUAUAUAUUGAGACUUUAGUAACAAAAAAUUAGGGGUUAAAUACAUCUAAAAAAAAAAAAUGUUUUCUGAUCUUUCUUAUAUCGCUCUGAUAAAGGACAGACAGAAUAAACUUCCUUUAGGAGUACUAUCUGUUGCUCCAUGUAGUGGUCUUCAAAAUCAAAUAGCAAAAUUAUCCCUGAUAGGACCUUUUUAAAACAAUUUCCAAUACCUUAGUAUAUAUCCACAUAGCAAGAGGUAGCUUUUGGGAGUCUCAAUCCGUUGGAAUGUUGUCAAGGAGGGCGGUGUGUAAGGCAUGAGCCGAAAGAGGAGGAAGUGGUACUCGAUAUACAAGCAGAGUGAUGUCCUUUACAUGUGUGUGUA